rnacentral:rRNA from 1 species
UACAGAGGGUGCAAGCGUUGCUCGGAAUUAUUGGGCGUAAAGGGUAGGUAGGUGGUCUCAUUUGUCUGGGGUGAAAUCCUUGGGCUUAACCCAAGAAGUGCCCCAGAAACGGUGAGACUGGAGUCCUGGAGAGGGUCGUGGAAUUCCCGGUGUAGCGGUGAAAUGCGUAGAGAUCCGGAGGAACACCAAAGGCGAAGGCAGUGUCCUGGGGAGUACCUGACGCUCAGGUGCGAAAGCCAGGGGAGCGAACGGG